GGAUCCGUAGCUUAGCUAGGACAAAGCGAGGGCCUCCGGAGCCCUAGAGCCCGGGUUCAAAUCCCGGCGGAUCCG
rnacentral:tRNA from 1 species